CCCUCGCGGCUCCUCCCCUCUAGCGUCCUUUCCUCCCCGAGUGCAGAGGACAGGGUCACCGGCGAGGACCGCCUUGCACCGUCUCGCAGAGGCAUCCCUUUCAUCCGCUCUUCCAUGUCCUUUCCCUCCAUUUGUGCCAUUCCCAACCUGGAGACUUUAGUCAGGGUUCCUUCCCCACCCCUGAUCCCCAGAGAUGUGCAGACACCUGCUUUGCGCAUGUAAAGACUCGACGCAUUUCUUCCCAAAGCGGAGUUUUAUUUAACAAUUUACGGAUAAACAAAACAGAGGGAAGGAGAACCCAGGAUAACUUAGUCUCUUGCACUUAAUAAGAAUUUACCUCUUGGGCUCUGCAGACAUUUGAAGCUGUAGGGAACAAGAAGCAGGUAAAAGGCAUCUCCCCGAGGUGGAGUGCACAGUCGGUAACAUAAGUCCCCAACGUCGGAGUGAUGGGCAGUGGAAACAUGGACGGAUCCCGCAGCUUUGCGCAGUGUGCCCACAGCAAGUGCAUAGUACUGACUGACGUCUACUAAGAGACGAUACUGUGCAAUUUUUGUGUUGAAAUCUCGAACAGCUGUCUAGUAUUAUUAUCUCAUCUUGUUGACCACAAAUUGAUUCUUUAGAAGGAUGAGUAACUUCCCCAAGGUCAUUACUUUUGACCUGUGGGUGCUGGAUUUUUCAUCACUUAAAGCUCCAAAGCUCCCAGCUCUUUUUAUUGGCUUAGGCUGUGGAUGCCUCUGGAAGAUGGGAGAUGUACUUUAAGUAGGCACCUGAAGUCAGAAAACAAACAAAAUGCCCAAGCCAGGUUGGAAAUCAGAACUCUGAGGAUCACUCAGAGGUUGUAGAUCCGCUUCCUUUCUGGGAAUUUUAGAUUAAAUGUCUAAAAAUAAGUUACGGCAGCAGGGGUUGUGUAGUUAGAUUGGAGGGAAGGCAGAGCUGCUUCCCCUUCCUCUCCACCUCCCCAGGCAUGUUGAGGGAACACACGGGUGCUUCCACCACUGCGAGGUGCCCCUUUCACCUUUAGUCUCUGGGGCUGAAGAUGCUGCUGUUGGCUUCUUCCUGUGAUUGUAGUGGUCUGGGUGGUUGGAAAUGAUCUCCUCUGCUCUGUAGAGGAUCUUUCUAAUCAGUGCAAGGGCAGCUCAGUACUUGAUAUGUACUGAAUUCUCAGAGAAGAACCUUGUCAAACUGCGAAGGAGAUGGCAGGAAGAAAGUAAGAAAGCUGUAAGAGUUUUGAAUAGAACAGGAAGUUUUCCUAAUGUUUAUGUGGUGAUAGAAAGAUAAAGGAAUCAAUAGAUCCUAUUAUAGAAACUUUCUUAAUUCUUGUUGCUUUUGAUUAAGUGAUACUGUGGGAAAUGCCAAACCAAAGCAGUGUUUGUUUCUUCCAUCAGAUCCUCACCCAUUUCAUUUGCUCCUCAGAAAUGAACCUGAAUUCAGAAUUUAUGUGCAAGGCUUUAUUCAUGGCACCUGACAUGGUAACAAUAAUAGUAACAAUUAAGCUAACAAGUUAUUAGGUGCUUAUUAUCUGCCUGACACUAUGCUAGUAUGUAUUGUCUCAUUUAAUCCUCAUAAGAAUCUUGUAUAAAUUGAUAUAUCAUUAUCCACAUUUAUGAAAAUGAACAUGCCCUGGUCUUCAAGGGAGUUGCUAUAAUCCCAUGGAAAAGACAGAUAAUGUAUAUAAUUAACUAACUGGAAAUAGGGCCAUCAAAGACAGGAAACAUAGCAGAGUGAAAACCUUAUGGAUUUGGGAGCUGUCAGAACAUGGUUGGAAUUCUGGCUGUAUCCCUUUCUAGUUGUGCAAUCAUUGGUAAGUCCAAUCUCAGAGCUUCAGUUCCUCCAUUUGUAAAUUGGGGCUUGUAAGAAUGUCUUACAAGUUUGUGGUGAAAAUUACAUGAUAGCAUAUAGACAGCGCCUGGAAUGAUGCUUGCCACAUAGCUCUGUUUAAUACGUGAUUGUUAUAACAAUAGAAACACCAGUGAAGUGCUGGGGAUGUUCCCAGAACAUGACAUUUAAUUCUACUGAAGGGAGGGAAAUCGGGUUUCAGAGAGGAGGUGGUGUUUGGAGUAAGCCUCCAAGGAUGGUAGGGUGGCAUAGUGGUAAGAGGUGAGGAUAGAAGUAUAUGCCAGGCAGAGAGAACAGCAAAGAUCAAGGCGGAGAGAUUUGGAAGUGCCUGAUGUGUUUACUGUAUGGAAAGUUAUUAAGUCACCCAUGGAGACCACCAUAGAAAAGUGGGCUGGGUGGUAGGACGAAGCCAGGAGUCUUUGAAUGUAUUUAAGGUAUGGCUCAUUAGAAAUGGACAAACAUCAAGGAUCUAAUGGUACUGGCUGCAUGUUAGCUAUCAGCAGAGGUGGCACAUCACUGUUACCAGUGGGUUUGGGAAGUAGAAUAGAGGUUAAUACAGUGAAGUGGUUGUUUUGAAAAUUCUGUCGACUCAUUGGGUGGUAACCGUUACUCUAAGCAGUCAAGUCCUUUCUUUUUCAAAAUUUUGAACAAACGACUGUUUUCAGCAGUUCCACCUUUAUGUGGCCUCUUUAUUUCCCUAUUUUUGAAUCCAGGGAUGUUAAAAGCUCAAUUUCCAUAAUUGUCCUGGUGGCAGGAAAAGGGCAUUGGGAGUGGAGGGGAGGAGCAUAGGUGCAGCCAUCUGUACAGGUAAAAUAUAAGUUUAGUGUUUGUAAGUUGGGGGUUUAUGGAAUUCACUUUGAAAAGGUAGUUUGGGAAAAAGAGGGUUUAAUAAGUUUUGAUGCUCAAGAAAAUAUGCUACAGUUAUGUUGCAAAUUUACAAAUGUGGAAAAAAAUCUCAUCAGCAAUAAUCACAAUAGCAAAAAUCAAUCACUAACCCUUACUGGAUACGUAAAAUAUACCAGGCCUAGUUCUUAGCACUUAUAUAUGUUUUUUUUUCCCCAAAGCAACCUUAUAAAGUAGGUUUGUGUAUGUUCCUUGUUUUAUAGAUGAGGAUAUGGAGGUUUAGACAGAUCCAUGAACAAAAUGAUGGAGUUUGAUUUCCAACCUGGAGCUAUUUAAUUCUAAACCUCAUGCUUGUUCCCUGCUCAUUUGGGAUAAAUGAAGCAAUGCUGUAUACAUCUCUCUCAUGAUUUGGCUCUGAUUACUUCUCCAAUGUCAUCUUUCAUCAGUUUUUCUUUUUAUUCUUUGCUAAUAUUGGAAUAAUUAAAAAUAGGCCAGGCUAUAUUGGUUUUGCUCGAGCCACCCACUCCACCUGGAAUGACUUGACUUGAAGGCCACAUCUUCCUGCCUUUUACCUGGCCAGUUCCUUCUCAUCUCUUGACAGUGCAUUAUAGUGGGUAAGAGCAAAGGUUCUGAAGUCAGCUGUGUUCAAAUUCUGAUUCCAUCACUUGCUGUGUUCUUGAGCAAAUCAGCCUUCAUUGCUCAUUUCUCUAUCCAUAAAAUGGGGCUUCUUAUAGGACUGUUGUAAGAAUUAGAUUAGAUAAUGUGUUUAAAAUGUUUAGAACUAUUUCCAGUAUAUAAUUAAUGCUCAGUCCUUGUUAGUUCGCCUCAAGGUGGCUUCCCUUACUCCUUCUUCCCUUCCCAGGCUGUGCUUAGAACUCCUCCUCUCUGUUUUCUUUAUACCAUGCAUGUAUGAUUGUAAUCCUUUCAGUUAUUCAAAAUACCUACUACUCUGUGUCUACCACUAUUACUGUAGGAUAGGAGAUGCUGGGUCUGUAGCUGUGAACUGAAUAAAAUUUUUGUUUUCUUGGAAUUUAUAGGAUAAUGAUGAGAGACAGAAAAUAAACAGAGAAAUAUACAAAUAACUGGUAGCGACAGGUGCAUUAGUGAUGAUGUAUUAAAAAUAUGAGUGCACUUGCCUGCCUUCCCUGCUAAAUUUUAAGUUUCUCACAGACAGGAACUGUGCCUCAUUCUUAGUUGCAUUCCCAGAGCCCAGCAUGGUCCCUGGCACACUAAAUUUUGCUUAGAUAUCAUGUGAAUGAAUGUUUAGGAAGGUGUGGAACCAGAUAGCCACCCAAUUGGUCAACAAAUAUUUAAUGAGACCUACUGUGUGUCCAGCACUCUGGCAGUGUAGCAGAUCAGAGGAGUAAGCAUCCUUUGUAUUCUCAAAGAGCUCUUACUCUAGAGCAGAGGUUCUUAAUUUCAACCCUCCUGACAUUUUAGGCUGCAUACUGCUUUGCUGUGGAGUGCUGUCCGGUACAUUGUAGAAUGUUCAGCAGCAUCCCUGGCCUCUGUCCACUAAAUGAGACAACCAAAUAUGUCUCCAGACUUGGCAAAAUACCUCCUGGGGGGAAAAUUGCCCCUGACUGAGAACCAUUGAUUUGCAGAAACAAAACCUGCCCUAUCGACAGGAUUUAAGAAACCUUGAAAGUAUGCGUAAUUAAGAACUAAAUUUGGAAACUACAAUAUAAAUGCUUUGACUGUUUAGAGAAAGGAGGUGUCUCUGUGGGCUCAAGUUGUUGGAGAAGGCCUCCUGGAAGAGGCCUGAAUGAACUGUACUUGAUAGACAGGUCUUGGUUAGGGAGGGUCAGGAGAGGGGAGGCGUUUUAGGAUAUUUAUAUAAGCAACCGUCUCUGUUGAAAGUAAUAUAACAGCUGUUUAAGAUUUUCACUAAUGUUCCCCUUAAUCCCUGGUGAGAGGGGUCCAUGCUCUGUGCCCUAUACUUUAAGGGGCCACAUCCUUCUUUUUCUCUGGUUUCACCCUUUCUCAGUGAGGCAGGGUGUUAAUGGGAUCUUUCUAGACUCUGGAAUUUCCUGCCCAAAUGACCCAACUCUACUUCUGCAGCCUGCCUGCCUGCGUGGGGCAUUUUCCCCAAUCUUCUUCCUGAGAGUGGCUUGCCCCCCUGGUAUGUACAAUCCUAGUCCACACAUCAGAGGGGGCAAGGAACGGCUAAGGGACAGCUCUUUGAGGGAGACAUUGUGGAAGGAUCUUUGAUUUGGUGCUGUGGGGCCCACAUAUGCAAGUGGUAUAGGCUUGCCCUGUGUCCCCAGAUUGCAGGACCAAACUUCCUGGAGUUUCAGGAGUCUAAAUUUGAAUUUGGCAUUCCAGAUUGUUAUGCAGAUUUGUUUGUCCAGGGAGGAGAAUAGAACAUGUUUUAUCGGUUUGUUGGUUUGAUGAUAACUUCUCAAUAUUAGAUACAGUUGUACUUUUGUUCUCUGCCUUGCAAAUGGAGGUGGUUGGAGAGUUUUUGGUCUGUACUGUAUAAUCAAUACUCGAGUGAAAAAUUAUAGUGGGUUUUUUGUAACUUGGGAGUCUAUCAGUCUUCUUUGAGAGCAAAGUGUUUUAGGAAACUAGUUGGAUCAAUUGAAUAAUUAUGUAAGUUAGUAUAGAAUGUGGUCAGUUAGUCUUUUGACAAAGUUGUGAGUCAUCUUGGAAAUAAUGAUACUAUGUAUCAUUAAUGCACUCUUCAUGAUGGAUUUGAUAGAUUUCUGGUAAAAUAAUCUAUUUUAGCUUCUCAUUCUGACCUGGCUCUAUCAGGAGCUGUGUGACCUUGGGCAAGUUACUUAACCUCUCUGUACCUUUGUUGCAUCAUCUGAAAAAUGAGUAUAAUGUGCUAAUCUACUUCAUAGGUUUGUGAUGAUAAUUAAAUCAGAUAAAGAAUGUAGACUCCAUAACCAUCCUCACUUGGCUGGGUGGGAUGAUAGGAAGUUUGUUCCCACCUGGAAAAUGUCUGGACUUUGGAGUCCCAGAGAUAAGGAUCUAAUCCUGGUUCUGUCAUUUAUCAACUUUGUGACAUUGAAAAAUUUACUUGGUCUUGCUGAGCCUUAGCCGCAGGUGGCAAUAGUUACCUUGAGAGGAUUAGUUGCUGGAUAAGUGCUAAUUAUUAGUCCAUAAUGAGGAGAAAAUCCAUGUCUUUGGACAAAUUCUGUGCCUAUUAAUUGUACUUUCAGUAAAAGAAUAUCUGACAAUGAAAUGUGACCUUGUGACACACGCUCUUUUUUCACAGAGUUAGUGCUGAGGGUGCUGUACUAUGGCCGGCAAAAUUUUAUGGAAGACAGCAGAGCCCAGCAAUAAAUCAACUGAUUUCAAUCAUUCAUUCAACCACAUUUGCUGAAUGUCUACCAUGUACCAGUUAGGUGCUGGCAAUACAGUGAUGAAUACAAGAACGUGGUCCCUGAUUUGUUAAUCUAAUUAACAAAUUUUAUAAUCUAAUUAACAGCAGUUCUCCCAUAUCUGUGGUUUUGUUUUCCAUGGCUUCAGUUGUCUAUGGUUAAUUUGGUCCAAAAAUAUUAAAUGGAAAUUCCAGAAAUAAACAAUUCAUAAGUU
rnacentral:lncRNA from 1 species